rnacentral:rRNA from 1 species
GAUGAACGCUGGCGGCGUGCCUAAUACAUGCAAGUCGAGCGAAUGGAUUAAGAGCUUGCUCUUAUGAAGUUAGCGGCGGACGGGUGAGUAGCACGUGGGUAACCUGCCCAUAAGACUGGGAUAACUCCGGGAAACCGGGGCUAAUACCGGAUAACAUUUUGAACCGCAUGGUUCGAAAUUGAAAGGCGGCUUCGGCUGUCACUUAUGGAUGGACCCGCGUCGCAUUAGCUAGUUGGUGAGGUAACGGCCCACCAAGGCAACGAUGCGUAGCCGACCUGAGAGGGUGAUCGGCCACACUGGGACUGAGACACGGCCCAGACUCCUACGGGAGGCAGCAGUAGGGAAUCUUCCGCAAUGGACGAAAGUCUGACGGAGCAACGCCGCGUGAGUGAUGAAGGCUUUCGGGUCGUAAAACUCUGUUGUUAGGGAAGAACAAGUGCUAGUUGAAUAAGCUGGCACCUCGACGGUACCUAACCAGAAAGCCACGGCUAACUACGUGCCAGCCGCCGCCGUAA